rnacentral:rRNA from 1 species
UACGUAGGGGCGAGCGUUGUCCGGAUUCAUUGGGCGUAAAGCGCGCGUAGGCGGCUUCGCAAGUCGGCCGUGAAAUCUCCGGGCUCAACUCGGAGGGGUCGGGCGAGACUGCGAGGCUCGAGGUGGGCAGAGGGCAGUGGAAUUCCGGGUGUAGUGGUGGAAUGCGUAGAGAUCCGGAGGAACACCAGUGGCGAAGGCGGCUGCCUGGGC